rnacentral:rRNA from 1 species
UACGGAGGUGGCAGGCGUUACUCGGAUUGAUUGGGUGUAAAGGGCGUGUAGGUGGCGAAUUAAGUCGAAUGUGAAAUCCCUUGGCUUAACCAAGGAACUGCAUUCGAAACUGAUUUGCUUGAGCGAUGGAGAGGAAGAUGGAAUUCACGGUGUAACAGUGAAAUGUGUAGAUAUCGUGAGGAACACCAGUGGCGAAGGCGAUCUUCUGGACAUCUGCUGACACUGAAACGCGAGAGCAAGGGGAG